AAUCAACGCUGGCGGCGUGCCUAACACAUGCAAGUCGAGCGAGAAAAGGGGGGCAACUCCCUGAGUACAGCGGCGCACGGGUGAGUAACACGUGGGUAAUCUGCCCUGAAGUGGGGAAUAACACCGGGAAACCGGUGCUAAUACCGCAUACGAUCACGAUGUCUGCGGAUGUUGUGAUGAAAGGAGCAAUUCGCUUCAGGAGGAGCCCGCGGCUGAUUAGCUAGUUGGUGAGGUAACGGCUCACCAAGGCAACGAUCAGUAUCCGGUCUGAGAGGACGGUCGGACACACUGGAACUGAGACACGGUCCAGACUCCUACAGGAGGCAGCAGUGGGGAAUUUUUCGCAAUGGGGGCAACCCUGACGAAGCAACGCCGCGUGGGUGAUGAAGUCUCUUGGGACGUAAAACCCUUUCGACGGGGACGAAGCCGCAAGGUUGACGGUACCCGUAGAAGAAGCCCCGGCUAACUCCGUGCCAGCAGCCGCCGUAACAC
rnacentral:rRNA from 1 species